UACAGAGGUCUCAAGCGUUGUUCGGAUUCAUUGGGCGUAAAGGGUGCGUAGGCGGCGCGGUAAGUCGGGUGUGAAAUCUCGGAGCUUAACUCCGAAACUGCAUUCGAUACUCCCGUGCUUGAGGACUGGAGAGGAGACUGGAAUUUACGGUGUAGCGGUGAAAUGCGUAGAUAUCGUAAGGAAGACCAGUGGCGAAGGCGGGUCUCUGGACAGUUCCUGACGCUGAGGCGCGAAAGCGUGGGGAGCAAACAGG
rnacentral:rRNA from 1 species